AGUCGACGGGGCGCGGCGGCUGAGGCUUUUCGGAGCGGAAGCCGGCGCUGCCCAGUGGCGGACGGGUGAGUAACGCGUGGGCAACCUGCCCUGCACUGGGGGACAACAGCCGGAAACGGCUGCUAAUACCGCAUAUGCCCGCAGCCCCGCAUGGGGCGGCGGGGGAAGCUCCGGCGGUGCAGGAUGGGCCCGCGUCUGAUUAGCUGGUUGGCGGGGCAACGGCCCACCAAGGCGACGAUCAGUAGCCGGCCUGAGAGGGUGGGCGGCCACAUUGGGACUGAGACACGGCCCAGACUCCUACGGGAGGCAGCAGUGGGGGAUAUUGCACAAUGGGGGGAACCCUGAUGCAGCGACGCCGCGUGGGCGAUGGAGUGCUUCGGCAUGUAAAGCCCUAUCAGCAGGGAAGAAAAUGACGGUACCUGACUAAGAAGCCCCGGCUAAAUACGUGCCAGCAGCCGCGGUAAUACGUAUGGGGCAAGCGUUAUCCGGAUUUACUGGGUGUAAAGGGAGCGUAGGCGGCCUGGCAAGCCUGAUGUGAAAUACCGGGGCCCAACCCCGGGGCUGCAUUGGGAACUGCCAGGCUGGAGUGCCGGAGAGGCAGGCGGAAUUCCUAGUGUAGCGGUGAAAUGCGUAGAUAUUAGGAGGAACACCAGUGGCGAAGGCGGCCUGCUGGACGGUG
rnacentral:rRNA from 1 species